UGAGCAGAACUGCCAGGAGGAGGCUGUGCUGGAGGACAGAGAGGGAAGGAAAAGCAACACACCCACCUGACCUAAGGGCAGAAAUCUCUGCCUCCUACUACAACUGGAAACCAGCUGAGAGUUCUGGGAUGGCAGUAAAGGCACAGCAAUAAAGGGAUUUAAUGGCACUUCAGGUCUGCCAUAGCUGCUGAAGGUAACAUUUGCUUUAUUGUGAAGAUUCAGAGAACAGUAUGACCCUCUCUUUCCAUGUUACUGCCUAAUGUUAAUCUCAAAAUUUGUAUUCUGGAAAUAUCUUUCAGAGGUAAUCAACACAUGUGAUCUUGAAUAAAAAGCUUUACGAGCUGCAAGCACUCACCA